rnacentral:rRNA from 1 species
GGACUACAGGGGUAUCUAAUCCCGUUCGCUCCCCUGGCUUUCGCGUCUCAGCGUCAGAAAGGGUCCAGGCACUCGCUUUCGCCACGGGCGUUCCUUCCGAUCUCAACGCAUUUCACCGCUCCACCGGAAGUUCCAGUGCCCCCUACCCCCCUCAAGGCCGCUCGUAUCGGUGCCACUUCCCCGGUUGAGCCGGGGGAUUUCAACAGCCGACGUGACGGCCCGCCUACACGCGCUUUAAGCCCAGUGAUUCCGAAUAACGUUCGCACGGUUCGUCUUACCGCGGCUGCUGGCAC